rnacentral:pre_miRNA from 1 species
AGUGGAAUUGCUGGAUGGUAUGUUAGUUCUAGUCUUAAUAUUUUGAAGAAUCUCCAUGCCAUUUGCCAAGGUGGCUAUUCUAUUCUACAUUUCUACCAGUAAU